rnacentral:rRNA from 1 species
GACGAACGCUGGCGGCGUGCUUAACACAUGCAAGUCGAACGGAAAGGCCAUGCUUUUGUGGGGUGCUCGAGUGGCGAACGGGUGAGUAACACGUGAGUAACCUGCCCUUGACUUUGGGAUAACUUCAGGAAACUGGGGCUAAUACCGGAUAGGAGCUCCUGCUGCAUGGUGGGGGUUGGAAAGUUUCGGCGGUUGGGGAUGGACUCGAGGCUUAUCAGCUUGUUGGUGGGGUAGUGGCUUACCAAGGCUUUGACGGGUAGCCGGCCUGAGAGGGUGACCGGCCACAUGGGGACUGAGAUACGGCGCAGACUCCUACGGGAGGCAGCAGUGGGGAAUAUUGCACAAUGGGCGGAAGCCUGAUGCAGCAACGCCGCGUUCGUGAUGACGGCCUUCGGGUUGUAAACCGCUUUCGCCUGUGACGAAGCGUGAGUGACGGUAAUGGGUAAAGAAGCACCGGCUAACUACGUG